rnacentral:tRNA from 1 species
AACGGACUGAAAAUCCGUGUGUCGGCGGUUCAAAUCCGCCCGGUCCCA